GGCAGAUGUACAGAAAGAUGGCAGGUCUACAGUUUGCUGUCAUUCAACCCAUGCCCCCACCACAGUACAAUGGUAAGAUGGCAGAUGUACAGAAAGAUGGUAGGUCUACAGUUUGCUGUCAUUCAACCCAUGCCCCCACCACAGUACAAUGGUAAGAUGGCAGAUGUACAGAAAGAUGGUAGGUCUACAGUUUGCUGUCAUUCAACCCAUGCCCCCACCACAGUACAAUGGUAAGAUGGCAGAUGUACAGAAAGAUGGUAGGUCUACAGUUUGCUGUCAUUCAACCCAUGCCCCCACCACAGUACAAUGGUAAGAUGGCAGAUGUACAGAAAGAUGGUAGGUCUACAGUUUGCUGUCAUUCAACCCAUGCCCCCACCACAGUACAAUGGUAAGAUGGCAGAUGUACAGAAAGAUGGCAGGUCUACAGUUUGCUGUCAUUCAACCCAUGCCCCCACCACAGUACAAUGGUAAGAUGGCAGAUGUACAGAAAGAUGGUAGGUCUACAGUUUGCUGUCAUUCAACCCAUGCCCCCACCACAGUACAAUGGUAAUAUGCAGAUGUACAGAAAGAUGGCAGGUCUACAGUUUGCUGUCAUUCAACCCAUGCCCCCACCACAGUACAAUGGUAAGAUGGCAGAUGUACAGAAAGAUGGCAGGUCUACAGUUUGCUGUCAUUCAACCCAUGCCCCCACCACAGUACAAUGGUAAUAUGCAGAUGUACAGAAAGAUGGUAGGUCUACAGUUUGCUGUCAUCCAACCCAUGCCCCCACCACAGUACAAUGGUAAGAUGGCAGAUGUACAGAAAGAUGGCAGGUCUACAGUUUGCUGUCAUUCAACCCAUGCCCCCACCACAGUACAAUGGUAAGAUGGCAGAUGUACAGAAAGAUGGUAGGUCUACAGUUUGCUGUCAUUCAACCCAUGCCCCCACCACAGUACAAUGGUAAUAUGCAGAUGUACAGAAAGAUGGUAGGUCUACAGUUUGCUGUCAUCCAACCCAUGCCCCCACCACAGUACAAUGGUAAGAUGGCAGAUGUACAGAAAGAUGGCAGGUCUACAGUUUGCUGUCAUUCAACCCAUGCCCCCACCACAGUACAAUGGUAAGAUGGCAGAUGUACAGAAAGAUGGUAGGUCUACAGUUUGCUGUCAUUCAACCCAUGCCCCCACCACAGUACAAUGGUAAUAUGCAGAUGUACAGAAAGAUGGUAGGUCUACAGUUUGCUGUCAUCCAACCCAUGCCCCCACCACAGUACAAUGGUAAGAUGGCAGAUGUACAGAAAGAUGGUAGGUCUACAGUUUGCUGUCAUUCAACCCAUGCCCCCACCACAGUACAAUGGUAAGAUGGCAGAUGUACAGAAAGAUGGCAGGUCUACAGUUUGCUGUCAUUCAACCCAUGCCCCCACCACAGUACAAUGGUAAGAUGGCAGAUGUACAGAAAGAUGGUAGGUCUACAGUUUGCUGUCAUUCAACCCAUGCCCCCACCACAGUACAAUGGUAAUAUGCAGAUGUACAGAAAGAUGGUAGGUCUACAGUUUGCUGUCAUUCAACCCAUGCCCCCACCACAGUACAAUGGUAAGAUGGCAGCAUCAAUAGUGUUUAAGGCAGGUAAAAUGUAGACUCCAUCUUUGUGCACAUCCACAAUAAGUUUGUUUCCUACA